GACGAACGCUGGCGGCGUGCCUAAUACAUGCAAGUUGAGCGAUGAAGAUUGGUGCUUGCACCAAUUUGAAGAGCAGCGAACGGGUGAGUAACGCGUGGGGAAUCUGCCUUUGAGCGGGAGACAACAUUUGGAAACGAAUGCUAAUACCGCAUAACAACUUUAAACAUAAGUUUUAAGUUUGAAAGAUGCAAUUGCAUCACUCAAAGAUGAUCCCGCGUUGUAUUAGCUAGUUGGUGAGGUAAAGGCUCACCAAGGCGAUGAUACAUAGCCGACCUGAGAGGGUGAUCGGCCACAUUGGGACUGAGACACGGCCCAAACUCCUACGGGAGGCAGCAGUAGGGAAUCUUCGGCAAUGGACGAAAGUCUGGCCGAGCAACGCCGCGUGAGUGAAGAAGGUUUUCGGAUCGUAAAACUCUGUUGGUAGAGAAGAACGUUGGUGAGAGUGGAAAGCUCAUCAAGUGACGGUAACUACCCAGAAAGGGACGGCUAACUACGUG
rnacentral:rRNA from 1 species